rnacentral:rRNA from 1 species
UAUGAAUUAAUUAUAAAGUCUAGCCUGCCCACUGAUAUUUUAAAGGGCUGCGGUAAUUUGACCGUGCGAAGGUAGCAUAGUCAUUAGUCUUUUAAUUAGAGGCUGGAAUGAAUGGUUGGACGAAAGGUAAGCUGUCUCUUUUAUGUAUGUUGAAUUUAACUUUUAAGUGAAAAGGCUUAAAUUAUACAGGGGGACGAUAAGACCCUAUAAAACUUUAUAUAAAUUUAAUUUAGUUUAUGAUAUAGGUGAAAAAUUGUUUUAAUAAUUUUAUAUUUUGUUGGGGAGACAUAGAUAUAAUAUGUAACUGUUUGUUAAAUUUAAUAAUUAUAGUUAAUAUUUGAUCCUUCCUUGAGGAUUAAGAGAAUAAGUUACUUUAGGGAUAACAGCGUAAUUUUUUUUGAGAGUUCUUAUCGACAAGAUUAGUUGCGACCUCGAUGUUGAAUUAAAGUUUUUAGCUAAGUGUAGUCGUCUAGCUAAUAGGUCUGUUCGACCUUUAAAAUUUUACAUGAUUUGAGUUCAAACCGGU